rnacentral:rRNA from 1 species
GACAGAGGGUGCAAACGUUGUUCGGAAUCACUGGGCGUAAAGCGCACGUAGGCGGAUUGCUAAGUCAGGGGUGAAAUCCUGGAGCUCAACUCCAGAACUGCCUUUGAUACUGGCGACCUUGAGUCCGGGAGAGGUGAGUGGAACUGCGAGUGUAGAGGUGAAAUUCGUAGAUAUUCGCAAGAACACCAGUGGCGAAGGCGGCUCACUGGCCCGGUACUGACGCUGAGGUGCGAAAGCGUGGGGAGCAAACAGG